AUGAACGCUAGCUACGGCUUAACACAUGCAAGUCGAACGGAGUGGCGAACGGGUGAGUAACGCGUGAGCAACCUGCCUAUGACAGAGGGAUAGCCUCGGGAAACCGGGAUUAAUACCGCAUAGUAAUAGAUGGGGUCGCGUGUGAUUAGCUAGUUGGGGAGAUAACAGCCCACCAAGGCGACGAUCAGUAGCAGGUAUGAGAGGAGGAACGGGCACAUUGGAACUGAGUCACAGUCCAAACUCCUACGGGAGGCAGCCGUGUUGAAUACUGCACGAUGGAGGAAACCCUGAUGCAGCGACGCGGCGGGAACGAAGAAGGUAUUCGUAUCUUAAAGUUCUGUCCUAUGGGAAGCAGUACCAUAGAAGAAAGCUCCGGCUAAAUACGUGCCAGCAGGCGCGUUAAAAC
rnacentral:rRNA from 1 species